GUGUGUUCAGCCUCACCAGCCUUCUGAGAAUCACACCAGCAUGGGAGCGGAGACUGGGAAUGGUGCAUUACCUGAGGGGCGAGACUCGGGCAUCAUCACGUGACCAUCCUGUCUCAGCACUAUCUGUGGGCAGAUCGCGCGCAGGUGGAUCACUAAUCCCUAAGGAGACUUCAUGAUUGGAUCCUUGUUUUUCUCAUUCACUGUAAAGAAUAGCUGCCUCGUCUCCCUCACGCUCUGCCCUGAGAUGUGGUUUUCUUGUUCGGAGGAUUUGGAGUUCUACUGAGGAUCACGGGGAGAGCAGAUACACAGGUGUCAACCCCUGGGCUUCUCUGUGACACUCCUAAGCCUGCAUAGUCUCUUCAUGGUGUCUGAAUCCUUGAUUGACCUGAGUUGUAUAAACUUCAAGCAAUAAGAAAGAAUGACAGCUUGAGCUCACAGUUAGCAUCCUUUAUUUAGGGCCUUCAUUCUCCCGGAAGGACAGAAUGGUCCAGUGAUUCUCAGCCCAGUCUUUGCAUUGGACCCACCUUGACCUUGGACAUAGAUCUCUUCCAGGAAUCCUGUGAUUCCACAUAGACCCAAGUAUCCAAUAUUAAAUGACAUAAAAUAAGGCCUAUUAACUAUAAGCAAGUUGGAUCUGACCCAGGUCUGCUAGAUUCCAAGGCUCUUGAUGAACAUGAAGUCAUAAAAGCUUGGAGGAACUCCUGAGACUGCCACUAGCGCUGAGUACCAGCAGUUGGGAACUUACACCUUCCUGAGGAGAUGAUUAAGGCACUGGAGAAAUUGAGAAAGCCGUUUGAGGUCACAGCCUGCACAAGAGGAACAUAUCAUCCAGGGGUGGAGGAAGUACACAGAGACAUUCAACUGGCACACCAGUCGGAGAGAUAUCCGUUGGAUUGCUUCUUCCAAGGUUCCAAGUUCAGUUCCCAGAAUCUCCAUCUGAAGACUCACAGCCACCU